AUUAAAAUAUCUGAUAUCAACAUUUUAGGGAAACAUUUUUAAAAAAAAUAAGUAUAACAGAAGGAGAAUUCUAAACAAUGCUAGGGUAGUGAUUUUUUAAGAGACCGAAGGUCUCAAGGAACAAGCCAAAAUUUGUGUCAAAAUGCAAUGAACAGAACGUAAACAAAAAAUUAGAAUGAAAGUUUUUUUAAAAACUCAAGGAAAUUUCAUCGAUUUUAACAGAAAACCGAACUGAUUUUCUUGAAAAUCCUCUUAGAAGCAGUGGUGGGCUCAUCUUCUUCUUCAUCGAGAUUCUCAUAUGUUUUAAGACCAGUAGUAAUGUCUAGUUUAUCCAAAGAAGGGAUGUGCGAUCUAUCAUAUAUUUUAUAACCGAUAAAAAAAGCGAGUGUAACGGGUGCCGCCAAAUACCCCUGGAAAAAAUCAUUUGCAUUUGGUUUUCCACCGAUUGGAAAUAAGGAGACAUAAAAUUGUGCCAUAAGGCAUAAAAUAUUGAAAAAUAAUCCAAUGCAAGAUCCCCAAAUACCCAUAGGAGAUACAAAUCCCAAUUCUUUUAGGGAAUGUCCUUGUUUCUUAAACGCCAAGCGAAAUAUGAUAUGACAAAGACAUAUACUUCCCCAGGUAAAAAAGUUUGACAGACCAGAUAGAGCAAGCAACCAAUUGAAUACCGUAUCACUAACAUCGUUACCAUUUUUAUCAGCUUCGUUGAUAUAAGCAAAGAAUCCAAAUAACAGAACAACGAUCAUGGCAAGUAAAGGACGACCAAGACGAUCGGUAUAUUUAAAGAAGGAGGGUGCCUGCUUUAAAUUCGCCAUACCAUGGAGGGUACGACCGGCUGUAUAUGUGCUGGAAUUUGUCACAGAAACGACGGAAAUAAUAAUAACAGCGUUAAAAACGGAAGGUAGGCCUUUGAUGUUUGCUUCUUUAAUAGCAAGUACGAAAGGUGACACACUGGUAGAGCCAUUUCCCAUCAAAUUAGGAUCAUCGGGGCUAAUAAGCAAACCGAUCAAUAUCAAGGAGACAACAUAAAAUAUAGCAAUACGCCAAAAAACUUGCUUAACGGCAUGAGGAAGCGCUUUCUGAGGAUUGUCAACUUCAGCCGCCGCUAAACCAAUGACUUCAGUACCAGAAAAGGAGAAAGCCGCAGUAGUAAAGACAGAACAAAAUCCUUUGAACCCAUGUCGAAACGGCUUAUGUUUUAUAAUACUUCCGCCAAUGUAACCCCGGUGAUCAGUUGGAACACCACCGCAAUUGAUGAUGAUGGCCAAAAUGAUGAAUCCAAAGGUAGCGACCACUUUAACAGUACUUAAAAUAAACUCCACUUCUCCAUAUGCGCGAACGCCAAAAAGAUUGACUAUAAUAAUGACAACCAGAAAAAUAGAGAUCCAAGCUGCGCUAUUAAUAUCCGUCCAGUACCGAAAUGUGAUAGCGCAAGUUGUUAAUUCAAGUGGAAAAGUAACGAAAUAGUUGAUGAAGUAGUUCCAACUUACCGCAAAUCCCCAAGCUGGAUCAAUGAAACGGGUAGCAUAGGUAUUGAAUCCACCAGCGACCGGAUAAGCAACAGCCAUUUCACCAAGCGCAUAAACAAUAAAGAACAUCAUAAUUCCAAUUAAGCUGUAAUUAAUGAUCACUGAAGCGGGUCCGCCAUCUGCAAGCGAACUACCUGAACCGACAUAUAGACCUGUACCAAUUGCACCUCCAAUAGAUAUCAUUUGCAUAUGCCGGCUUUUCAGACUACGCUUAAGCGCCGUGCCAUCUUCUCCCGUUGCCUUUGCAGGCUUAAAGUCAUCAAAAAAGCGUACUACGAAGUUUUUACCCUUAGGCUCCACAUCGUCAACUAAUCCCGGGGUAAUGUAACUCUUUUCCUCCAAAGAAGGUUUGACAUCCUUCAAAGA
rnacentral:lncRNA from 1 species